rnacentral:rRNA from 1 species
CGAACGCUGGCGGCGUGCUUAACACAUGCACGUCGCACGGAAAGGCCCUGCUUUUGUGGGGUGCUCGAGUGGCGAACGGGUGAGUAACACGUGAGUAACCUGCCCUUGACUUUGGGAUAACUUCAGGAAACUGGGGCUAAUACCGGAUAGGAGCUCCUGCUGCAUGGUGGGGGUUGGAAAGUUUCGGCGGUUGGGGAUGGACUCGCGGCUUAUCAGCUUGUUGGUGGGGUAGUGGCUUACCAAGGCUUUGACGGGUAGCCGGCCUGAGAGGGUGACCGGCCACAUUGGGACUGAGAUACGGCCCAGACUCCUACGGGAGGCAGCAGUGGGGAAUAUUGCACAAUGGGCGGAAGCCUGAUGCAGCAACGCCGCGUGCGGGAUGACGGCCUUCGGGUUGUAAACCGCUUUCGCCUGUGACGAAGCGUGAGUGACGGUAAUGGAUAAAGAAGCACCGGCUAACUACGUG